UUACGACCACAUCAUGUUGAAACACCCAUUCCCAUACGAUCACUGAAGUUAAACAAUGUUGAGCCUGGUUAGUAUCUAAAUGGGUGAACACUUGAGAAUACCAGGUGCUGUAAG